rnacentral:rRNA from 1 species
UGGGGAAUAUUGCACAAUGGGCGCAAGCCUGAUGCAGCCAUGCCGCGUGUAUGAAGAAGGCCUUCGGGUUGUAAAGUACUUUCAGCGGGGAGGAAGGCGAUAAGGUUAAUAACCUUGUCGAUUGACGUUACCCGCAGAAGAAGCACCGGCUAACUCCGUGCCAGCAGCCGCGGUAAUACGGAGGGUGCAAGCGUGAAUCGGAAUUACUGGGCGUAAAGCGCACGCAGGCGGUCUGUCAAGUCGGAUGUGAAAUCCCCGUGCUCAACCUGGGAACUGCAUUCGAAACUGGCAGGCUAGAGUCUUGUAGAGGGGGGUAGAAUUCCAGGUGUAGCGGUGAAAUGCGUAGAGAUCUGGAGGAAUACCGGUGGCGAAGGCGGCCCCCUGGACAAAGACUGACGCUCAGGUGCGAAAGCGUGGGGAGCAAACA